UUACUGUGAUGACCAUCUUAGGACACCUUUGGAAUGACUGUGAAAAAAAUAAGAGUAUUCUGAGUGAC